UACAGAGGCCCCAAGCGUUACUGAGAAUCACUGGGUUUAAAGGGUGCGUAGGUGGCGCGUUAAGUCCGUUGUGAAAUCCCUGGGCUCAACCCAGGAACUGCUUCGGAUACUGGCGCGCUUGAGGCCGGUAGGGGUCACUGGAACUGACGGUGGAGCGGUGAAAUGCGUAGAUAUCGUCAGGAACACCGAUGGUGAAUGCAGGUGACUGGGCCGGAACUGACACUGAGGCACGAAAGCGUGGGGAGCAAACGGG
rnacentral:rRNA from 1 species